rnacentral:misc_RNA from 1 species
GCCUUCUUCAACAAAUAAACCUUAUCCUCACUCCCUUUUUGUAUGAAGCCUUCAGGUUGCUCAAUAAAAAUCUCUUCCUGCAAGUGACCAUUUAAGAAGGUAGAUUUUACAUCCAGUUGAAAAACAUCCCAACACUUAUGAGCUGCAAGAGCAAUAAGCAAUCUGAUAGUGUCAAAUCUGGCCACUAAUGCAAAUGUUUCUACAAAAU